rnacentral:rRNA from 1 species
GACGAACGCUGGCGGCGUGCUUAACACAUGCAAGUCGAACGUGAUUUUUAUGGAAAUUCUUUCGGGAAUGGAAAUGAAAUGAAAGUGGCGAACGGGUGAGUAACACGUGAGCAACCUACCUUACACAGGGGGAUAGCCGUUGGAAACGACGAUUAAUACCGCAUGAGACCACAGAAUCGCAUGAUAUAGGGGUCAAAGAUUUAUCGGUGUAAGAAGGGCUCGCGUCUGAUUAGCUAGUUGGAAGGGUAAAGGCCUACCAAGGCGACGAUCAGUAGCCGGUCUGAGAGGAUGAACGGCCACAUUGGAACUGAGACACGGUCCAAACUCCUACGGGAGGCAGCAGUGGGGAAUAUUGCACAAUGGGGGGAGCCCUGAUGCAGCGACGCCGCGUGAGCGAAGAAGGUUUUCGAAUCGUAAAGCUCUGUCCUAUGAGAAGAUAAUGACGGUAUCAUAGGAGGAAGCCCCGGCUAAAUACGUGCCAGCAGCCGCGGUAAUACGUAUGGGGCGAGCGUUGUCCGGAAUUAUUGGGCGUAAAGGGUACGUAGGCGGUUUUUUAAGUCAGGUGUGAAAGCGUGAGGCUUAACCUCAUUAAGCACUUGAAACUGGAAGACUUGAGUGAAGGAGAGGAAAGUGGAAUUCCUAGUGUAGCGGUGAAAUGCGUAGAUAUUAGGAGGAAUACCGGUGGCGAAGGCGACUUUCUGGACUUUUACUGACGCUCAGGUACGAAAGCGUGGGGAGCAAACAGG